rnacentral:misc_RNA from 1 species
GUGAAUCAUCAAAUUUUUGAACGCAAAUUGCACUCUCUGGUAUUCCGGAGAGUAUGCCUGUUUGAGGGUCAGUUUAAAUAAAAAUCUGAGUUGUUGCUGCCUUUCGUGGUGACGCCCCGGGUUUGGGUCGUCUUGCCUUCGGUUAAGUGACCUAAAAUUUUGCUUGAUUUUUUUAGAACGGAUGUAAAUGAUCUUAUGUACGUUUGCGAUGUCGCAUACUAUGUGU